GAUGAAGAACGUAGCAAAAUGCGAUACUUCGUGUGAAUUGCAGAAUCCCGUGAACCAUCGAGUUUUUGAACGCAAGUUGCGCCCGAAGCCUUUUGGCCGAGGGCACGUCUGCCUGGGCGUCACGCAUCGCGUCGCCCCCCACAAUUCUUCGUAAAGGGAACAUGUGUUUUGGGGGCGGAUAUUGGUCUCCCGUGCUCAUGGCGUGGUUGGCCGAAAUAGGAGUCCUUUCGAUGGACGCACGAACUAGUGGUGGUCGUAAAAACCCUCGUCUUUUGUUUUGUGCUGUUGCUCGCAAGGUAAACUCUUUAAAAACCCCAAUGUGCCGUCUCUUGACGACGCUUCGACCGCGACCCCAGGUCAGGCGGGACUACCCGCUGAGUUUAAGCAUAUCAAUAAGCGGAGGA
rnacentral:misc_RNA from 1 species